AGGACGAACGCUGGCGGCGUGCUUAACACAUGCAAGUCGAACGGUAAGGCUCCUUCGGGAGUACACGAGCGGCGAACGGGUGAGUAACACGUGAGCAAUCUGCCCUUCUCAUCGGAAUAACCAUUGGAAACGACGGCUAAUGCCGAAUAUGACCUCGGAUCACAUGUUCUGAGGUGGAAAGCUCCGGCGGAGAAGGAUGAGCUCGCGGCCUAUCAGCUUGUUGGUGAGGUAAUGGCUCACCAAGGCAUUGACGGGUAGCCGGCCUGAGAGGGUGACCGGCCACACUGGGACUGAGACACGGCCCAGACUCCUACGGGAGGCAGCAGUGGGGAAUAUUGGACAAUGGGCGAAAGCCUGAUCCAGCAACGCCGCGUGAGGGAUGACGGCCUUCGGGUUGUAAACCUCUUUCAGCAGGGACGAAGCGAAGUGACGGUACCUGCAGAAGAAGGACCGGCAACUACGUGCCAGCAGCCGCGGUAA
rnacentral:rRNA from 1 species